AACGAACGCUGGCGGCAUGCCUAACACAUGCAAGUCGAACGAGACCUUCGGGUCUAGUGGCGCACGGGUUCGUAACGCGUGGGAACCUUCCCUUAUGUUCGGAAUAACUCCCCGAAAGGGAUGCUAAUACCGGAUAAUGUCUUCGGACCAAAGAUUUAUCGCCUUUGGAUGGGCCCGCGUUGGAUUAGCUAGUUGGUAGGGUAAAAGCCUACCAAGGCGACGAUCCAUAGCUGGUCUGAGAGGAUGAUCAGCCACACUGGGACUGAGACACGGCCCAGACUCCUACGGGAGGCAGCAGUGGGGAAUAGUGGAAAAUGGGCGAAAGCAUGAUCCAGCAAUGCUGGGUGAGUGAUGAAGGCCUUAGGGUUGUAAAGCUCUUUUACCCGGGAUGAUAAUGACAGUACCGGGAGAAUAAGCUCCGGCUAACUCCGUG
rnacentral:rRNA from 1 species